rnacentral:rRNA from 1 species
CAACUUUCAACAACGGAUCUCUUGGCUCUCGCAUCGAUGAAGAACGCAGCGAAAUGCGAUAAGUAAUGUGAAUUGCAGAAUUCAGUGAAUCAUCGAAUCUUUGAACGCACAUUGCGCCCCUUGGUAUUCCAUGGGGCAUGCCUGUUCGAGCGUCAUU